rnacentral:lncRNA from 1 species
UUGUGCAAAAAAUUAAAUUUUUUAAAAUUUAUUUUAUUUAAAAUAUAAAAAUAGUUUUUUUCUAAAUUUUUAUAGAAUGUGAUUGUGUAUGUUAACUUAAUAAGUUUUAAUUAAUUAUAAUUAUUAAAUUUGAUUAAAAACAAUGAGAGAAUCGUUUAAAUUUUUAAAGUUUGAUUUACAUAUUAAAAUUAAAUAAAUUAAAAAUUUUUAAAUGUGCCGAUUAAUAAGUUGAAGAAUUAUUGAAAAAUUUAAAAAUAUUAUAUGUUUCUAUUUAUUUAUUUAUAAAUAGUAAGUUUGAAUGAUUAAUAAAAUUAUACAAUUAUUUUAUGCAUAGUGAAGGUAAUUUCACCACUCUAUCUGAAGAGGUGACAAAAUUCACAAAUGCAACUAUCAUUUUCAUAUUACCAAACAGAAAAAAUGUAACUACAGCAGUUGCAACUGUAUAAAACCAAACAGACUAGGUGUAGUUACAACUACAGCAUUUGCAACUGCAUGUAUUUCCAGCUACACUGUUUCUGCAACUACAUCCAACCAAACGGACCCUAAUUGUUAGUGUCAACAAUUCAACAAGUGGUAUUAGAACAAGAGGUCACGGUUCGAUUCCCGCAUGCUGCGAAUGUGCAUGUCCAGAUAGUAGAGUAGGGAUUGCUAGUUUAAAUGAGCCAGCAUCAUGCCUUUUGGCUGGAGGCUAGAUUGGACCAAGUGGCGUGAGACUGAUUCGGCCGAGUCACAAUCGAGAUUUAUGAGCGCUAUUUUUGUACACUUUAAAUGUAUUUCUAAUAGAUCAAGCUUUUGAAAUGAAUGAUUAGCGCCGACAAUCCGACAUCAUAUACGCUCAUUUUGAAAUUUUCAUGUUU